rnacentral:rRNA from 1 species
UAUCGAAGGAGUGGCGAACGGGUGAGUAACACAUAAGCAACCUGCCCCUAUGUCUGGGAUAACUGUUGGAAACGAUAGCUAAUACCGGAUAGGUUAAGAGAAGGCAUCUUUUCUUAAUUAAAGGUUAGAAACGCAAAGGGAUGGGCUUAUGCCGUAUUAGUUAGUUGGUAAGGUAAUGGCUUACCAAGACGAUGAUACGUAGCCGACCUGAGAGGGUGAACGGCCACAUUGGGACUGAGACACGGCCCAAACUUC